UACGGAGGGUGCAAGCGUUGCUCGGAAUUAUUGGGCGUAAAGGGCAGGUAGGUGGUCUCAUUUGUCUGGGGUGAAAUCCUUGAGCUUAACUCAAGAAGUGCCUCGGAAACGGUGAGACUAGAGUUUGGAGAGGGUCGUGGAAUUCCCGGUGUAGCGGUGAAAUGCGUAGAGAGUCGGGAGGAACACCAGAGGCGAAAGCGGCGACCUGGACAAUGA
rnacentral:rRNA from 1 species